AUCACCAGUGUCAGUUUACCUACUGAGCUUCAGUCUGAAGUCCUGCUGCCCUGUUUCUUUGAAUCAGACUUCUUGAAUUCAAACCAGACAAAUGAAAUUUGCGUGGUGUGGACUCACCUCAAUUCAACAAACAGAGAAAUUGUGGAGAUCGGUCUGGAUGGUGAGGCUAAAUUCUGGAACAACCGACGAGGACGGAUUAAGACAUUCCCAAAAUUACCAGAAUCUGAACUGCUGGACUUCUCCAUCAAGAUCCGUAAUGUGCAGCAGUCUGAUUUAGGUGUCUACCACUGCACACUGUUCAGAGAGACUGGCUGUCUCCUAGCCUAAAAGAGGAUUGAACUACACAACGAACCAGCUGUUGUUUCAGUGGAUUCUCUGACUUGGCUGAUCCCAACUGGAGCAGCAGGAGGAGCAGCAGUGCUAGUAGUGCUACUUGUGCUUCUUGUUGUUGCAUGUAAAUUCUUCAAACGUCAAGAAAAUAACAUCUGUGAGCCUGUCUAUGAGAACACCUCCCAAACAAAGUUCACUAACAGAGCAAAGUUCACUAAUGAAAACAGCGUGUCACUCAGCAAUCCAAUCUAUAGUUAAAAUGCACAACUGUGUGGAACAUCAGUAAAUAUAUGGAAUUCAUUAUAUAUUACAUCAAGAGAACUGAGAAUGAUUGUAAUGGGUCAGACUUUUUGUCUGGGUUUUACAUAUACAAAUGUAAAUAUAGCUGCAAGCAGCGAUUACCGGGGUUCAAGCAUUUAGCACAUAAGAAAAAAGACCGUUUUUUAAACAUUUGUAUUAUUUUAAAUUCAUUGAUUUCAUUUAUUUGUUUAUUUAUAUAUUCGUUCAUUCAUUUAUUCAUUAUUGACAGAGAAACUGGCUCAAUAAAUGAAUGCCAGAGAUCACUUUUCCUUUGAUUUGAGUUUUUACACGCUAUUACCGCAACGCCUAGUAUAUGCGCGCAACACAAAAUAAGUGGAGGCUGGCCGAGUAGCCCCAGAGUGCACCCUGGACACCUUCAAUUUCAUUGGUUUAUAAUACAGCAGAGCUUAUUGGUGUAGAUGUUUGCGCAUGAGCAUUCUGUUAUAUACGUUUUUAUGAAUGAUCUACGCCGUUUGGCUGUA